AGCUCUAGAGACUGUCAUUUUGCUGUGUGUGUGUGUUUUUUUUUAACCUUUUGAAAAAGACCUGCUAGGCAAAGCCAGCCUCUGCCUUUUUGUAUCAAGAACCUGAUAUUAUAUAAGCAUUUCUCUUAAGCAUCAAUUGUUAUCUGGUUUGUCAGUUCUGAGCUGAGCAUCAAUCCUGGACCGUACACCUUGGAUUUUGUAUUGUGACUGAGAUGACCGUCUUUCUCUGGAAUGCAUUUCUUUAUCUAACACAAUCCAACUGCCUCCCCAGCCUUAAUAGAUCCCUUCUUUUGUUUUGUAUCAUUUUGUUUGUAGUUGACAGUCUGAGGCUGCUAUCUUCUGCUAUGACAAGCUGCCUACUGCCCACUGCAUUCUGAAAUUUGUUCCAAUUAUUUUUUCAUCAGUAUCUGACAUUUUCACCCUUCCUUGCCUUGUAUUCCCUCUGGAAUUCUCCCCACCAAUUUGCCAUAUGAGAUCCUGUUGCAAAACUUCCUGUGCAGCCGUGAGAGCCAUAAAAAGGCUUAUUCUGUCUCCUGUAAUCCAGUGCACAGAAAUGCAGCACGCCUUUCUCGCUGACUCUAGGCACUGAGUGAAUAGAGGUUACUAAAGCAGAUGGGGAUUCCUCCACAUUUAAUUGUCUUCCAGUUCCUGUAACGAAAAGUGAAGAUUAUGAGAGUUGGAUUUGCACAGCUGGAUGAUCCUUUCCCCCUGCUCCUGCUCUACCAACAUACAAUCAGCACCUCUUUCAGUUUACCUCCUGUUUACCAAGGACGGCAGCCUCCCAGGAGAAGGCAAGAUCACAUAUGGCAUGUGAGUAAUUAUAUGCAGAAAUGGAGGAUUAACACAGGUUCAGU